AGUGGACGCUGGCGGUAGGCCUAACACAUGCAAGUCGAACGGCAGCACAGUAAGAGCUUGCUCUUACGGGUGGCGAGUGGCGGACGGGUGAGGAAUACAUCGGAAUCUACUUUUUCGUGGGGGAUAACGUAGGGAAACUUACGCUAAUACCGCAUACGACCUACGGGUGAAAGCAGGGGAUCUUCGGACCUUACGCGAUUGAAUGAGCCGAUGUCGGAUUAGCUAGUUGGCGGGGUAAAGGCCCACCAAGGCGACGAUCCGUAGCUGGUCUGAGAGGAUGAUCAGCCACACUGGAACUGAGACACGGUCCAGACUCCUACGGGAGGCAGCAGUGGGGAAUAUUGGACAAUGGGCGCAAGCCUGAUCCAGCCAUACCGCGUGGGUGAAGAAGGCCUUCGGGUUGUAAAGCCCUUUUGUUGGGAAAGAAAAGCAGCAGGUUAAUACCCCGCUGUUCUGACGGUACCCAAAGAAUAAGCACCGGCUAACUUCGUG
rnacentral:rRNA from 1 species